rnacentral:rRNA from 1 species
GAUGAACGCUGGCGGCGUGCUUAACACAUGCAAGUCGAACGGAAAGGCACAAGCUUGCUUGGGUGCUCGAGUGGCGAACGGGUGAGUAACACGUGGGUGAUCUGCCCUACACUUUGGGAGAAGCCUGGGAAACUGGGUCUAAUACCGGAUAGGAUCAUAGCUUAGUGUCGGUGGUGGAAAGCUUUUCGGUGUGGGAUGAGUUCGCGGCCUAUCGGCUUGUAGGUGGGGUAAUGGCCUACCACGGCGUCGAGGGGUAGCCGGACUGAGAGGGUGUACGGCGACCUUGGGACUGACGGACGGCCGCGGUGCCUACGAGUGGAAGAAGUGGGGAAGACUGCACAAGCGGCGCCAGGCUGAUGAAGAGGGGCUGCGUGGGGGAUGACGGCCUUCGGGUGGUAGAAAACUUUCGCGAAGGACGAAGCGUGUUGUGACGGUACUUGAAGAAGAAGCACCGGCUAACUACGUG